GACAGAGGGGGCAAGCGUUGCUCGGAAUUACUGGGCGUAAAGGGCGCGUAGGCGGGCUGGCAAGUCGGUCGUGAAAUCCCUCGGCUCAACCGAGGAACGUCGAUCGAUACUGCUGUUCUUGAGGAUUGCAGAGGAGACUGGAGUUCCCGGUGUAGCGGUGAAAUGUGUAGAGAUCGGGAGGAACACCGGUGGCGAAGGCGGGUCUCUGGGCAAUUCCUGACGCUGAGGCGCGAAAGCGUGGGGAGCAAACGGG
rnacentral:rRNA from 1 species